rnacentral:misc_RNA from 1 species
GAUGAAGAACGCAGCGAAAUGCGAUAAGUAAUGCGAAUUGCAGAAUUUCCGUGAGUCAUCGAAUCUUUGAACGCACAUUGCGCCCCUUGGCAUUCCAUGGGGCACGCCUGUUCGAGCGUCAUUUCAACCUUCAAGCCCGGCUUGGUAUUGGGCCUGCCGUCCCUGGCGGGCCUCAAAGAUGUUGGCGGUGGACGACCCCCGAGCGUGAUGGACUCACGACAACGGGGCGGUUCGCGGCCGAAAGCUCCCUUAGGUUGACCUCGGCUCAGGCGGGGAUACCCGCUGAACUUAAGCAUAUCAAUAAGCGGAGGA